rnacentral:rRNA from 1 species
UGCCAGCCGCCGCGGUAAUACGGAGGGUGCAAGCGUUGCUCGGAAUUACUGGGCGUAAAGGGCGUGUAGGCGGUCAAUCAAGUUGGAUGUGAAAUCCCUCGGCUCAACCGAGGAACCGCGUCCAAAACUGGUUGGCUUGAGGUCGGUAGGGGACAGUGGAACUCCAGGUGGAGCGGUGAAAUGCGUAGAGAUCUGGAGGAACGCCGGUGGCGAAAGCGACUGUCUGGGCCGUACCUGACGCUGAGGCGCGAAAGCCAGGGGAGCGAACGGGAUUAGAUA